GACGAACGCUGGCGGCGUGCCUAAUACAUGCAAGUCGAACGCAGUGGCGGACGGGUGAGUAACGCGUAGGUAACUGCCUCAUAGCGGGGGAUAACUAUUGGAAACGAUAGCUAAUACCGCAUACUGUGAGAUGGACCUGCGUUGUAUUAGCCUGUUGGGGAGGUAAAGGCUCACCAAGGGGACGAUACAUAGCCGACCUGGGAGGGGUAUCGGCCCACCUGGGAAUUGGAACACGGCCAGACUCCGUCGGGGGGGAGCAGUAGGGAAUCUUCGGGAAUGGGCGGAAGUCCGGACGAGCAACGCCGGCGGAGUGAAGAAGGUUUUCGGGUCCGAAAGCUUUGUUGUUAGAGAAGCGGUACCUAACCAGAAAGGGACGGCUAACUACGUGCCAGCAGCCGCGGUAAUAC
rnacentral:rRNA from 1 species